CCAGACUCCUACGGGAGGCAGCAGUGGGGAAUAUUGGGCAAUGGGCGCAAGCCUGACCCAGCAACGCCGCGUGAAGGAAGAAGGCCUUCGGGUUGUAAACUUCUUUUAUUCGGGACGAAGAAAGUGACGGUACCGAAUGAAUAAGCCACGGCUAACUACGUGCCAGCAGCCGCGGUAAUACGUAGGUGGCAAGCGUUGUCCGGAUUUACUGGGUGUAAAGGGCGUGUAGCCGGGCUUACAAGUCAGAUGUGAAAUCCGGGGGCUCAACCCCCGAACUGCAUUUGAAACUGUAGGUCUUGAGUAUCGGAGAGGCAGGCGGAAUUCCUAGUGUAGCGGUGAAAUGCGUAGAUAUUAGGAGGAACACCAGUGGCGAAGGCGGCUUACUGGACGGCAACUGACGCUGAGGCUCGAAAGCGUGGGGAGCAAACAGGAUUAGAUACCCGAGUA
rnacentral:rRNA from 1 species